GGGGAUAUAGCUCAGUUGGUAGAGUACUUGCCUUGCAUGCACAAGGCCCUGGGUUCAAUUCCCAGAACCACA
rnacentral:tRNA from 1 species